UACGUAGGGGGCAAGCGUUGUCCGGAAUCAUUGGGCGUAAAGAGCGCGUAGGCGGUCCGGUAAGUCCGCUCUGAAAGUCCGGGGCUCAACCCCGGGAGGCGGGCGGAUACUGUCGGGCUAGAGUCCGGAAGAGGCGAGUGGAAUUCCUGGUGUAGCGGUGAAAUGCGCAGAUAUCAGGAGGAACACCGAUGGCGAAGGCAGCUCGCUGGGACGGUACUGACGCUCAUGCACGACAGCGUGGGGAUCAAACAGG
rnacentral:rRNA from 1 species